GAUACCAUCCCAUUUCUACUACUCUCCUCUUCAGGAGACUUUAAAGGGUCGGGGAAAAAUGAAUUUGAAAAUGAAGGAUCUCCAUUCUCAUACUCCAAAGAAGACCUACUCUCUGCAUCACUCCACCGCGGGACUUGAUCCAAGGUCACAACAAAGUCCACAUUGUCAGUUGGGACUCCCCCCAUGGUUGUGGCUGUAGCCACUGUCCGAUACAUUGUAACAGCUCCCAAUCAGAGUCCCUAACAGAAGGUGAGCCCAAAGUCCAGAAAUUGAAACUUUAAUGCCCCCAAAUAGAGAAUGGAUUCUAUGAUUAAAAUAAGGUAAUUCAAACUAUCCCCGCCCUGAAAUAACAAAAUUAUCACAAUAAAUUCAAUAUUUUGAUAAAAAACGAGAGCUUUAUCACUGAUCAACAACAAAUCUCAAGAUUUUUUAACCUAUUUAUAUCAAUCACCAGUAUCCACCUUCCAAAAAUUCCCCAAUUAUCGAAUCAUCCUUAUGACAUACCAUGAAAAUACAGGAAUAACAAGACAUCCCUAAAUCCUCAUCCGAAAUUUGAUAAAUUAUAAUUAAAAUGCAAUAAAAAAUAAUUAUUUAAGCAGUUACGUCUUGGGAAACCUGAACCUAAAGUCCAAAGUUUUCGUAAAAGAAGUAAACAAUUGACCAAACGAAAUUAAAAUUCGAAGAAACCCAAUACAACUUAGAGUUCGAUUUAUGUAAAUAACAUAACGCACCUGAAUUUCAAAAGCUGAAGAAUCAAAACUGAUCUUUAACUUAAUUAGGGGUUCUGAUUUGUUUCUGAAAUACAACUAUUAUUGAAUCGGAGCUCAUUUUGGCCAGAAACGGAUUUGGGUGAAAAAGGAAUUUUCUUUUUUUUGGGUACAAAAAAGAAUUAUUCGAUUGUCAUUUUGUGUUGGUUUUUGUUCGACUAAUGAUGUUAGUGGCCCUCUAAUUUUCGGCAUAUUCCGUUUAGGUCCCGUCCUUCCCUGUAGAACUAUUUUUAGAGAAAAUCAAACCAGAUUCAUAUAAAAAUAAUAUAUCUUUGUAUUACGGUUUUAGUCCCUUUACUCUUAACUUUUUAUAUAUUUAAUUUGGUCAUUCAAAAUAAAUAUUAUAGUUUAAUUUUAUAUAAUUUUUCUAUUUGCAUAAAUGAAUGGCAUGAUUUUUGCUUAAAAGAACACCUAUCCAAUACAAAAAUAUACAUGUUAGCACAGUGAAUUAAAAGUGCUUUUUAUUAGCCUUUUGUACUAACUAAUAAAGACCAAAUUUUGCCAAAAUAAUUAAAUUUCAAAUUUGUGCAUAAUAUAGGAUCAAAACUAUAAUUUGACGAAUUGGACUAAGAAAAAUAAAAAGAAUUCCGGACCCAAAACACAUAUGGUUUACUUCUUAAUGUUCAAUUUUGGCUUUGCAAAUAGAAAUUAAAUAGCCUUUUUUCUUUUAAUGGUUAGUCUUGAAGGUAAACUUUAUCUACAAAAAAAAAUUAAAAAGCAUACAAAUUUUCGAUUUAAGGAUGAUUUCCCAUCUUUCAUCCUGUCAUUGUUUUGUAUGGAUUUUGAUGAUUUGAAGAAUGGGGAUGUUUAAACCAAAAAAGGGCUAUAUAUUGCCAUUGCUAUUACAUUUUGUUCUUGCAUGUUGGCUUUGCUUCCCAUUCUUCUUUGAUCUAUAUCCAAGCAAAUUGAAAUGACCAUUUCAUUUGAUUCCAGCCUUUUCCUUCAACAUUGCAAUGAAGUUUUCUUUGUCUUCCGGCGACAUUGCCUCCGCUGAACAAUCCCCUACUCCCCACUCCGCCCCGCGCAUGCAGUACUUGUCUUGAAUUUCUUGCUUGUUCCUGCAAUUUUGCAAUAAUUUGCAGCAACCUUCACAAUUCUAUCUCAAUGCCUAAUCAUAUAAUGCAAGUUCAAGAAUCUAGAGCUUAAUUCAGUCGGUUCAUGCAAUCUCCCUUUAGAGAUGGUAUUUUGAUACAUCUCAAGUUAGAUUCUCAACAUUGCAAUCCUUCCCCUAUCCCCAUACUAAGGCCUCCUAUACACAAAAUAAUGCAAGUUCAACAUCACAAUUAUACCUCAAUGCCUAAUCAGAUGAUGCAAGUUCAAGAACCUAGAGCUUAAUUCAGUCAGUUCAUGCAAUCACCCUUAUGAGUGGUAUUUUGAUAUGUCUCAAGUUAGAUUCUCAACAUUGCAAUCGUUCCCCUAUCCCCAUACUAAGGCCUCCUUUACACGAAAUAUUGCAAGUUCAACAUCACAAUUCUAUCUCAAUGCCUAACCAAAUAAUGUGCUUAGUUGCUUCAUGCAACUAUUCUUAGUAUUCAGUAAAUUUGGGAUUUGAAUCCUGAAAUCUACAACCCUUCCAUAUCGAUAAUGCAAAUUCAAUAACUAAUAAGUUACAGUUGAUUCAUGUAAACACCUCUAAGAGACGUAUUUAGUAAAUUUGAUUGGAACAUCUACAACCUCUUUCUAUCCCCGUAGUUAAACAAACACACCCUUUUUUUAUUCUUCCCUCUAGAGACAAGUAGUUCAUAGUAUGAGGAUAAAAGGGAAAAGGGAUUAUAGAUGCUCGGAUUCAAAUUUCAUGUCACUUUUUAAGGCUAUUGCAUGAACCGGAUUUGAAGUAAUGCAGUUUAAGUAAGCAAUUUUGAUAGUGAUAUGGGGUAAAGAAAGUGAAUUACUUUUCUUUGUUCUGCUUUGACCGCUCUAACAGCUGCUUCAGCAAGGGAGAUGACUUGAAUCUUGCAUCAGCUUCAGCGUACUUCUUCUGGUUUUCUUCUGCAUAAUCAAAACCCAAUAUUUUUUAAGGCUAAUUUUAGAAUUCAAACCACAAAUGUCAACGGAUUAUGGUGAGAACGAUAAAUCAAACCAUUGAAGCGAUUUAGGAACUCAAUUUCAGGUAAUUGAGGACCAGGGAUUGAUUCGAUUCCGGGGAAUCCUGAUAACAAUCCAGCUUUGGCUGCAAAAAAAAAAAAAAAAACACAGAAGCUCAAGUAAUCAUUUUUUUAACUAUACCUUGGAUUUCAAUAAUUUCUGUAGUUAAUUUCUUAUGGAAGUCGAAACAAAUUGAUGAACAUACCAUAUCCAACCCAAGAAAGAAUUUUAUAAACAAAAUCCUAAAAUGAAAAAAAAAAGGAAAAAGAAAAAGAAGAAGCAACUCAAGUUACCCAAGUGGUGAAAUAAACAGUCAAUGCAAUGAACUCAAAUUGAAGACAUGGAAGUCUAACAUUAAAUCAUUGUAUAGUGGUACCUGGAAUUGGAGACAGAAGAAUAGUAACUGAAGCAGCCAAAGGUACAAAAGACUUGUGUAACACACUGCAAUUCAACGGUAAAUAACAAGGUGAAGAAGAAGAAGAAGAAGUUUUCAAGAUUUUAGUGGAGGUAAUAGAGAUUCUUUCAUCAAAAUAAAUGGGGAGAGAGGAAGCUGUUGAGCAAAUCAUUGUUGGGUUGUUGGCUUUUCUUCGAGAUGAACAAGCUUAAUAAGUAAAGAUAAGAGGGUUAAAAAAGAAUCCCCCAUGAGCGGUUGAUAUUAGUUUCAAGUCUACAAAUGAAAAUUGACUUUAUGUUUAGGUUAGGAUUGGAUUAAGAUGUAGGUCAUCAGCUCGAUUUAGUAUGCUAACCCAACGAUUUUAUAACCGGACCGGUGAUCGAACCGGCCUGACCACCGGCCCAACCGGUUUACAUGUUAAAAAAAUACUGAAAAUAUAUAAAAAGGGGUUUGGCAUGGAGGAAACGGUUCAUUUCAGACUUUUCAGUAAAAAAAAAAAGAUAUUUAAAAUAAUAUAAUGCUGUUACCCACUUCUUUCUUUUUAUAUUAAAAUAAUAUUUCUUUUUAUUGGUUGAAUAUACUGCCCGGCCCGACUGCCAAUCCGAAAUAUGGGAGGGUUUGGGUAAAAAUAUAGGCCCGAAAUAUGAGUUUAGGCAAAAAAUGAAGCCCGUUUAGAAAAUAGGCCGGGAUUCGGGUAGCGCUUUUUUGGCCCUGGCUUGGCCCGGCCCGGCCCGAAUUUAAUAAAAAUAUAUUUUUUAUUUUUUAAUUUUAAAAUAUUUUUAAAAUAUUUUUUUUUAUUUUUUUAAAAUAAAUUUUUGGUGUUUAUUAAAAAAUAGGCCGGGUCGGGCUGGGCUCGAGGAAUUUUUUCCCGAGCCCAAGCCUAGAACGCGGGCCGAAAUUUUUUUGGGCUUGAAACCCGACCCGGCCCAUGACCUCUAGUUGAAUAUAAAGCUGUGGGUUUUUAUUAAAAUAAUACUAAAAAUGAUUAAUUACGUAAAUAAUAUAAAAUAUAAAUUAAUUUUAAAAAUGGAUUAUUUUUUAUAAUGUUUUCGAGUUACCUAAAAUUUCUCUCAUAUUUUAUCAAUAAGUCAAUUAAAGUUAAUAUAUAUAUAUUAAGUUAUGUUGUCAACAUGUCCAAGCGAUACUAAAAAAAUACUCUUAAAUACAAACCAGGUAUCAGGCCUAGAGGUGAUUAUGGGUCGGUUCGGGUCAGAUCCAGACAAAAUUUUAGGCUUGUUUUCUAGGCCCGAGCCUAAGCCCGGCUCAGCCCGAAAUAUGAGCCUAAAAAUUUACCUAAGUCCGUAAAAGAAAAUUGCUAAGCCCGAGCCCGGCCCAUAUUAAAUUUUACAACUCCAAAAUAGCAUAUUUUAAAAAGAAAAUAGCAUAUUAAAUUUUAAAAAAUAUAUUUGAUUAAAAAUAAAAAAUAUAUAUUUAAUAUAUAAUUCGGGCCGGGGUCAGGUUGGGCCAGGGCCAAAAAUGUUUUACCCUAGGCCCGGCCCAUUUUCUAAACGGGCCUAAUUUAUUUUUGCCUAAACCCAUAUUUCGGACCUAUAUUUUUACCCGAACCCUCCCAUUUUUAGGCGGACCAUCGGGCCGGGCUGGGUAGCCCAACCCAUGAUCACCUCUAAUCAGGCCGCACCAGUUUGAAUUAAGAAAAAGUUGACAUUGAGGGUGUGGCCUCUCUGCUUCCUUCAGAUUUGCUACCUCUCUUGGUUUGUGCCUCUGCUUGCUCGUUGCUGUUGUUCGCUAGCUGUUGCUUCGGCUUCCUUCAUGCCAUUGUCCUCUUCAGUUUCUCACCUCCCUCAGGUUGUUGGCACUAGUCACAAACUCCGUAAAAUGAGCAUGCAAGUGCAACAUGCCAACUAAACUUGGUCAUGAGUCGGGCUACCUACCUAGGCUCGAAGGUCCACCUGAAAAAUGAGAGGGUUCAGAAAAAAAUAUAGGCUCGAACAAUGGGCUUGGACAAAAAGUAAGGCACAUUUUCUAAAUGAGUUGGGCCUCAAGCAAGUUUUUUUGGCCUGGCUUGACUCGAAUUUGACUAAAUCUUUUUCUGUUGCGUUGUUAUGUUAUUGUUUUGCAAUCAUUUUGCUAUUAUAUUUAUACUAUUUUGUUGUUAUUGUUUGUAUAUUAUAUCACUCUUAUUUUAUUGUUAAUUUUACUAUUAUUUUAGAGGCAUUUACUUGAGAAAUUGUAACUAUGUUGAUGUUAUUCAAGUAUAAAAAUAUUGUUUAAUAUAUUUUUACUUUACCGGGAAACAUUUAUUUUAAUAUUUUUAGUGUAUUUAAUGUAUUAUACUUUUUAAAUCUAUUUUAUAUAAAAAAAAAUAAUCUAAAAUGAAGUAAUACGGAUAGGCCAAACUCCAAUUUAGGCCAAACUCCAAUAUGGUAUUUUUUAUCUGAGCUAAAAUUGAACAAAAUUUUAGGCCCAUUUUUUAGUUCGGACCGAACCCUAGCCUAAAAGAUAAACUUAAAAUUUUGCAUCAACCCGACCCAAAGCAUGACAAAAUUUAUUUAUUUUUUAUAUUUUUAGUUUGAAGUUUCUCUAUUGAAAGGGAACUUUACUUCCUCUUUAAUUAAUGCACUGUUUUUUUUAUCGAGGGAACAGUAUUUGCUAUUGUGUUUGACCGUGUUAUAUUUUCAUAACUGAGACAACAUUUUCAUUUUUAGGGAAAAAAAAAUCCAAAUAACUUACUAGGCAAUUCAUUUAAAAUGAAUCGGAUUGACCGGUCCGAUUUUGAAAACAUAGUGUUAGCCCUUGGCUCUUAAUAUUUAGAUGCAAGUCCAUUGACUAUCUACCAAAAAGUUCAGUUCAAUGCCCAACCAAUAAAAACGCAACCUAUAGGCAGAUCGAAGGGGAAACUGAAACAAAAUAAUUACUCAAAUACUACUAAAGUGCAACUCCAAAAUAUUCCUCACAAGAUGAACUGAAUAAAGUGGUAUUUUCCCUCCCCCCUAAGUUUCAGAUUUUUCCAGAAAACACACGGUUUUAGUCAGCAGCACAACACACUCUAUCAACGUGCCCAUGGUCAAAUUCAUCCUUCAAGCAUAGCCUUGGCAGCAUCGAUCAGUAUCGAUCUAAAAUCUUUAGAAGCUAGGCCAAGAACAGUAUAUCCUUCUUUGUCUUCUAUGUCCACAUCCGCUCCAUGUCUUAUUAAGAGGAGGGCUACCUGACACCAAAGGAAACAAUUCUGACUAAGAAUACCCCAAGUCCGCAAAAUUUCAUAAGAUGUUCAGGUUUCCCCUGUCUUAAUUUGUGAGUAAUGUAAAUCACCAUAGUAGCAUAGAACUGAUUUUGGUUAUCUCAAAUGUAAAAGCGAUGAUAAAUAGAUGACGUUCACCAGCAUGAGCCUUAAACCUCGGUUUCUCAAAGCUCAAAGAGAGUACCUCCUUGUUUUGGCAAAUAACUGCACUCAUCAGAGGAGUUUGUCCAGCUCUAUCGGUAGCCUCAACUUCUGCCCCUUCCUCAAUCAAGAGUUCACAUAAUGCCGACUUCCCAGUGCUAGCUGCCCUAUGCAAUGGGGUGCAUCCUACCUGCAUUUAGUCAUACUAUCAACUGAUGAAAUGGAAAUUAAAAAGAAAGAUACAGCCCCUAUAUAAGAAAAAAUGAUUUAUGUGUGAAGUUACAAGCCUUGUCCUUUGAAUUAAUCUUUGCACCAUGAGAGAUCAGAAGUUCAGCAAUCUUCAACCAUCCCUUGCUAGCAGCAUAAUGAAGGGCGAUGCGGCCACCAUCAUUUUUUACAUUAACAUUUGCUCCUUCGCAAAAAGUAAAUAAGAAAAUAACAAUACGUAACAUCAGCUGAGUGCAAAAUUCGCACACUCGAGAUAACAAUCAGAGAAAGAACCCUGCUUAUGCUCAAUUAAGACCCUUAAUAAAGAAACUUACAGGAUAAAAAACAUUUUCCAUAAACCAGCAGGAAGCUUCUCAACCAAUAUGUACAUGCACAAAUGAAUUCCAUAGAUUUGCAGCUUAUGGAUACUCUGAACAUGCUGAUACAUUAAUCUUCUAAUGUUCCGAUUUUCUAGUACCCUAUUAGGACAUGAUCUUGCAGAAUGGAAAGCUUAAACUAAAAAGAACAGAAUCGAAGAUCUAGUAUGAUUUAUGAGAGCUACAAAAGGUUUACAAAGUAUUUGAUCUGGUAGCAGUUAUAUGCUAAAUUAACACCCUUUAAUGCCUAAUUUACAGCAUAACUUUUCCAUAAACUUAGCUUGAAUAUUCUUAAUCCAAUUCAAGUACGUACACAUACAUAUAUUCACAACUCAACUCAAAACAACUGAGUUUCUACAUUAGGAUUAAUUUGGAAAAUCAGAAUUAUACAAAUUUCUCACCUUUACUCAACAGGAUUUCCAUAAUUUCCAAAUUACCAAUGCUGGCGGCUGAGUGAAUGGGAGCCCAACCUUCUUCAUCGAUACCAUUCACAACUGAUUCAUCAGCGGCGGCAGAGAGUAGUUUGACCACCUAAUGCAAAUUGAUUUUUUCACAUUAACAAAUCAACCCAAUAGAGAUAGGGCAACUCAGGAAAUGGAAAGAAGUAUGGGGUUACCUCGGGGUGGGCGGAGGAGACGGCGACGUGGAGAAGAGAUCGGGCGUCUUCAUUCCGGAGUUUAAGAGACUUGGUAAUUUGGUCUUCGGAGAGGGGUUUGAAUAUGGAAGAAUCGCCCUUCUCCGCAGCUUUGAAGAGGUCUUUCUCUUUAAUUUCAACUGAUUUAGUUGGAGGAUUAAUUUCCAUGUUUGAGGCGAAAAUUACAGAUAAAAGAAGAAGUACGGGAAAGAAGAAGGUUCAAGAACAAGAAGAAUAGAAGGGCAGAACUAACAAAGAUAGCGUUUUCCUCUAUUAGUUUUUUGGCUUACUCCGAAGAAGACCUACUCUCUGCAUCCAAGGUCACAACAAAGUCCACAUUGUCAGUCGGGACUCCCCCCAUGGUUGUGGCUGUAGCCACUUUCCGAUAAACUGUAACAGCUCCCAAUCAGAGUCCCUAACGGAAGGUUUGCCCGAAGUCCAGAAACUCAAACUUUAACACCCCCAAAA
rnacentral:lncRNA from 1 species